AGAGUCUCUGAGCUCUCAUUAUUCUGCCUCUGACUUAUUUUAUGAAAACUGGCAAGUCACUUACUCACUUUCUGCCUCCACAUCCGAAAAAUAAGUUGGAUAACUAUUGUCAACAAACAUAGCAUGCUCUUCGUCUGCUGUGCUUCAGAGUGCUCUUCGCCCCACGGGGGAGGCACAAAAUCAAAAGACAGAGAAUAACUCAGCAGUCAAUAAUAUUCUUCAUGUAAAUACAUCGUCUGUAGAUCGUGUCUUCAGAACAAUGAUUUUUCUGCUGGUCCCUACAGCCAGACUUCCACUACACUGGUGUGGGAUCCCAAGGCUGCCUGCCUUCCCUGAGCAAUAAAUGCUGCACUUGAGAGUGAUCUCAGCGUGGGAACUGACAGAAACCAGGAAACUCAAAGACAGGUGGAGGAGGGAGAAAAGAAGGCUUCAAUAUGCCCUAACUGGAAGAUGUUGGCCUGGGGACGCUGUAGACAGCCAAAUAGAGGUGAAUGGAUAAAGGGCAUGUGAUAUAUAUACAAUGGAAUAUUAUUCAACCACAAGAACUAAGAAUAUCCUUCUAUUUGCAACUGCAUGGAUGGACUUUGAGGAUAUCAUCCUAAGUGAGAGAUCACCCAGAAAAUGAGUGAAAUCUCUUCAGUUAUGCCACUUCAGAAGGAGGAGCUUAAAUUCCCCCCAUCAAAAUCGCUGAGCCAUAGCAAAGCAACCCUGGAGACUUCCAUUCUAACAAUGCCAGUAUUCCAAAAGAAGUUUCUUAUGCCUUGUUCUUGUGAGCAGAACCAUUUUCUUCUUUGAUUAAACUGAGAAGAAACUUC